CGCGGCGACAGACCGCCGAACGGACAGCACUCCCCACUGUCCGCCCAAGGCUCAACCACAGGAAUGUGUACAAGAAUUCACCCAGGACUUUAAAUUCUAAACAUACACAUUCAGCAAGGGCACAAACAGUGCCAACAACAAGAAGAGCAAGUAAUCCACGAGAUAUACAAGUGAAAUAAAGAGAGUACUUUACUAACUAUUACAUUAGUUACAUUCAUUACAUCAUUUUUCAUCCAAAAUACAUAGCUCUCCAACCUCACCUACAAGAAUCUCUCUCAAUACAUAGGUGACUAAUGCAAAAAGGAAAGCUACUAUACUACCACGGUCUCACUGGUCGGGCGCGACGCCCUUGCCGCGGUCCUCUCUCUGCAGCCCUGAACCUACCACUGGAAAUAGAGUGGGGUGAGAACUAUCUUCCAUAGUUCCCAGUGGGCUCGGCCGCCGACUCUGCCGAUCUCCCCACUAGGUCCAAGUGGGCACAAGUAACAACAGAUAGAUAGAUAGAUAUGUAUCUGAAAGCUGUAAAUGCAGUAGUAGGAAAACUAUGCUACUAUGCCCAUAAUCAUGAAUAUGAAUGCAUGCAUCAUAUAAUAAAGGUUUGCUACCAUGCUAACAAAUUCGAUCCAUGUUCGAAUAGUAAUGUUCAAUGACAUUUAUAAACCUUUAACCUUUUUCAUUUACCCAAUCUGUGGCGAGGCCCUAGGGCUCGCCCAUGACUCACCUUCAAAUCCCAAAGUGGGGAGGGAGCUCCAAGUGCACCCAAGCCCGGGACCGUCUGCGGACCUCCAUGUGGUCCGGACCUCCAAGUGGUCCUAGUCGCACGACACUCCGGAGUACUCGACGACAAUCCCCUCCAUGUGGGGAUUGGAUGGCUAUACCAUCCUAAAUACAGACUGUGAGCUAGAUCUAUCCUCUCCAAGUGAGGACACUCUACAACUAGAGUCAAUAACCCAAUCGAAUCCUCUCCAAGUGAGGACGCCCUACACAAGGGUCAACAAUUAUCGUGGAAUCAUCGGUUUCCGACCUUCUUGCAAUGCUAUUUAGUUUUCUAAAUUCAUUGUUCACAAGGCAUUUUCUAAGGGAUCCACCUAUCCCUAGGUCCAUCGACCUCUAGUGUUAUUUACACUACAUUAAUGCCACUCGUUAUCAUUCGAUGUUUGGAUGCCACUCGUUUGUUCUUUGACAAUAACGCUACUUUCUAUGUCAUCAAUACCCCCAUCGGGUUCAUCUCUAUCUCUAGCAUCAUAGGAUCCACGUACCGACCCAAUCCUCACCUAUCUAGUUACCAAGCGUUCCAAGUACACUAGGUUAUCAUUUAGAAAGCAUAAGGAUGGAGCUACUAUGCAAUCCUACAAUGCAACAUAAAGAGAUGAGAUUAAAUGCAAUCUAAGACAUAGAAAGGAGUUCGAAAGCUUCGGAUGACACCCCCCACCUUUUUAUCAAUGUAGAGGCUUUGGAAAUUCCUUCCGGCGAGCUUCGCAAAAAGGCUUUAGCCUUCCUCGCCCAAAUCCAAGCUAUCCCGGCCCGAUUUUCCCGAGAACUUCACGUCGGUUCGCCGAGUGCCGAAAUCGACUUUGCCCCCGCGUUUUGGGACCUAUCAAUAGGGUUUCCAAGGCUUCAAAUGAGAUCAAUCUCAUACUUUUACAAAAGCUCCAUUUUGGAACCCUAGAUUUGCACCUAUAGCAAACCACCCCAUAAAUCUCUAGACUCUUGGGAUUGAUCUAUUUAGAAGCUUGCUUAGGGUCCCUUUGACCCAUUCCAAGGCAUAAAACCCAUAAACCCUAAGUUCUAGAAGCUAGGGUUUAGUAGCUUACCUCAAGAGCUACACCAAUGAGAAGAGGAGAGGGAGAUGGAGGUGCUCCAAGCCUUCCUCUUGAUCUCCUUCUUCUUCUCCUUCCUUAUCUUCCUCUUCUUUUUCUUCCUCUCCUUCUUCUUCUUCUCCUUCUUUUCUUCCUAGAGAGAGAAAGAGCAAGAGAGAAAUGGGAGUGAGAGAGGGGAAAUGAGAGAGUGUGAGGGAGAGAGAGGGCUCAGCCCACUCAAAUAAAUGCCAUUUUGCAUUUAGACCCCUCAACUUUUAACUCCUUGCACAGCCCUCACUGGGCUGAUUUCGCGCGGAGGGACCGGUCUCCCCGACUUGGGACCGGUCCCCGAGAGCUUCCCUCGGGCGCACGCGUUCGGGAACCGGUCUCUCCCCGGGAGACCGGUCCUUGGGAGACCGGUCCUCACCUGAGAGACCGGUCCCCGAGAGCUUGAUUUUCAGGACUUAGCCAAAUUUUUGGCAUUCUCGCUGGGACCACGUUCGGGAACCGGUCUCUCAUCACCAGGGACCGGUUGCAUCAUGCAACCCCGCAACACCCAGCCGAGGGAACCGGUCUCUCACCUCCAGAGACCGGUCCCCGAGAGCAACUUCUGAUCAAUGAUGCCAUUUGCCUCAUUUGCUCUCGCGGACUCAACUCCAAGGCACUUUUUGUACUUUGGACAUUCUCAACUCCCACAAAGGGUAUACUUCGGACAAUUAGUCGAUCCUGGAUGAAGUACAAUCCUCGUAUUUCGAGAAUUCACUUCCUUACAUCCUCCUCUCCUUAAAAGGAGUUUCGUCCUCGAAACGAACAAUUUUCCUAACUUUCAUUAAACUCAUACCUCACUCCUCAAAUAGAUGAGGAUGGUGCUUUCUCAUCAGCUCCUCGAGUUCCCAUGUGGCUUCGCGAUCAUCAUGAUUGCUCCACCGAACUUUCACAUAGGGGAUUUCUCGAUUCCUCAGCUUUCGCACCUCUCGGGCGAUAACCCCUACCGGAAACUCUUCAUAACUCAAGUCUUCUUGAAGUUCCGGAGGUUCAUAUAGCAUCGCGUGCUCGGGAUCGUGAAUGUACUUGCGGAGAUUGGAGACAUAAAAUACAUUAUGUACAUCCGCAAGCUUCGGCGGUANCGUGUAGCGUCUUGGAGACAUUAGCCCCUGCAACGCAAUUAUUUAUCAGUCAUCUUAUUCAACUGCCUCGUCGCUCUACGACGCAUGACGACUCAUUCACAAAAUCAGGCGGAAGCACACAAGCGUACUCGUCCUAGACUCUUGGCAUCAUGUCGUCGGCCGCCGACACAACCACCUCAAGUCAAGAACUCAUACAACUCGAAUCCGCCUCUAAUCUCAACUAGAGACCCAUACCAACUUCGACCCAAUUGACUUAACUUCCGCCAUCGCUAUAGGUUCACGUUCCGUUCACGCACCUAUAUCCUUAAGGCUUGCCAACCUAGGGUCUCCUAGGUCUUCCUAACUCCCUUUACUUGCUCUUAUUGCUCUGAUACCACAAAGACUGUCACGCCCCGCUCCGAAACCACUACCAAUUUGGCACGAUUCGGCCGCGGCGACAGACCGCCGAACGGAUAGCACUUCCCCUGUCCGCCCAAGGCUCAACCACAGGAAUGUGUACAAGAAUUCACCCAGGGCUUUAAAUUCUAAACACACACAUUCAACGAGGGCACAAACAGUGCCAACAACAAGAAGAGCAAGUAAUCCACAAGAUAAACGAGUGAACUGAAGAGAGUACUUUACUAACUAUUACAUCAGUUACAUUCAUUACAUCAUUUUUCAUCCAAAAUUACAUUUGAUUUCCAAAUACAUAGCUCUCCGACCUCACCUACAAGAAUCUCUCUCAAUACAUAGGUGUACUAAUGCAAAAGGGAAAGCUACUACACUACCACGUCUCACUGGUCGGGUGCGACGCCCUUGCCGCGGUCCUGACUCUGCAGCCCUGAACCUACCACUGGAAAUAGAGUGGGGUGAGAACUAUCUUCCAUAGUUCCCA
rnacentral:lncRNA from 1 species